GGACAUGAGGACAAUCUGGCUGUAACAUCUGUCACCCUAUUAAUCACCAGGGUUGAUGUGACUGAGCUGGCUGCCUAGGCAGAUGUUCCCUUCCUCCCUCACCACUCCUUGUGUGUCCCUCUGGACACUGCAUGCUCAGUGAAAGAGAAUGACUUUCCCUGAUGAAGGAGGACUGUUCUUUAAGUCAGGCAUAUACAAGUAGCUCCUAUGCUCCCCUCCCAGAACCUCCAAACGAGCUCUCAAGUUAAAAACAGUGUAUGUACUAGGAUUGCAAUUUUUAAAAGAAAUGUAAUUGAUAGAGUGUGAAUAGAAAAAAAGUUGUAGGAAUAUAUAUCAAAUU
rnacentral:snRNA from 1 species